CGAGCAGGUGCGAAAGCAGGUCAUAGUGAUCCGGUGGUUCUGAAUGGAAGGGCCAUCGCUCAACGGAUAAAAGGUACUCCGGGGAUAACAGGCUGAUACCGCCCAAGAGUUCAUAUCGACGGCGGUGUUUGGCACCUCGAUGUCGGCUCAUCACAUCCUGGGGCUGAAGUAGGUCCCAAGGGUAUGGCUGUUCGCCAUUUAAAGUGGUACGCGAGCUGGGUUUAGAACGUCGUGAGACAGUUCGGUCCCUAUCUGCCGUGGGCGCUGGAGAACUGAGGGGGGCUGCUCCUAGUACGAGAGGACCGGAGUGGACGCAUCACUGGUGUUCGGGUUGUCAUGCCAAUGGCACUGCCCGGUAGCUAAAUGCGGAAGAGAUAAGUGCUGAAAGCAUCUAAGCACGAAACUUGCCCCGAGAUGAGUUCUCCCUGACCCUUUAAGGGUCCUGAAGGAACGUUG
rnacentral:rRNA from 1 species